rnacentral:rRNA from 1 species
AAUCCCAAAAGCGGAGGAAAAGAAACCAACAGGGUGCCCUAGUAACGGCGAGUGAAGCGGCAACAGCUCAAAUUUGAAAUCUGGCUCUUUCAGAGUCCGAGUUGUAAUUUGCAGAGGGCGCUUUGGCUUUGGCAGCGGUCCAAGUUCCUUGGAACAGGACGUCACAGAGGGUGAGAAUCCCGUACGUGGUCGCUAGCUAUUGCCGUGUAAAGCCCCUUCGACGAGUCGAGUUGUUUGGGAAUGCAGCUCUAAAUGGGAGGUAAAUUUCUUCUAAAGCUAAAUAUUGGCCAGAGACCGAUAGCGCACAAGUAGAGUGAUCGAAAGAUGAAAAGCACUUUGGAAAGAGAGUCAAACAGCACGUGAAAUUGUUGAAAGGGAAGCGCUUGCAGCCAGACUUGCUUGCAGUUGCUCAUCCGGGCUUUUGCCCGGUGCACUCUUCUGCAGGCAGGCCAGCAUCAGUUUGGGCGGUGGGAUAAAGGUCUCUGUCAUGUACCUCUCUUCGGGGAGGCCUUAUAGGGGAGGCGACAUACCACCAGCCUAGACUGAGGUCCGCGCAUCUGCUAGGAUGCUGGCGUAAUGGCUGUAAGCGGCCCGUCUUGAACACCCGGA